UACGGGGGGAGCAAGCGUUGUUCGGAUUUACUGGGCGUAAAGGGCGCGUAGGCGGCCACUGCAAGUCGGUUGUGAAAUCUCCGGGCUUAACCCGGAAAGGUCAAUCGAUACUGCAGGGCUAGAGUGCAGAAGGGGCAACUGGAAUUCUCGGUGUAGCGGUGAAAUGCGUAGAUAUCGAGAGGAACACCUGCGGCGAAGGCGAGUUGCUGGGCUGACACUGACGCUGAAGCGCGAAAGCUAGGGGAGCGAACGGG
rnacentral:rRNA from 1 species